AGCAGCCGCGGUAAUUCCAGCUCCAAUAGCGUAUAUUAAAGUUGUUGCAGUUAAAAAGCUCGUAGUUGAAUUUCGGGAUCAAUACGUCGGUCGUGCUUCGGUACGUACUGGCGUAAUUGAUUUCUCCCUUCUGACGAACCAUGAUGUCAUUAACUUGGUGUCAUGGGAAAUCAGGACUGUUACUUUGAAAAAUUAGAGUGUUUAAAGCAGGCUCACGCUUGAAUACAUUAGCAUGGAAUAAUGAAAUAGGACGUUCGAUCCUAUUUUGUUGGUUUUUAGGAUCAACGUAAUGAUUAAUAGGGAUAGUUGGGGGCAUUAGUAUUCAAUUGUCAGAGGUGAAAUUCUUGGAUUUAUUGAAGACUAACUACUGCGAAAGCAUUUGCCAAGGAUGUUUUCAUUAAUCAAGAACGAAAGUUAGGGGAUCGAAGACGAUCAGAUACCGUCGUAGUCUUAACCAUAAACUAUGCCGACUAGGGAUCGG
rnacentral:rRNA from 1 species